GACUAUGGAUUUUUAGACAAUUUUCUAUUUUUAUGAACGAAACUAAAGUAACAGAACCUUUUUUUUUUUAAUACUUAUUAAAAUUACAAUCAAUUCUCACGUUGAGAAUUUUCAGUAAUUUUUCUGGCGUGGCGCAGUAACAUGGCUAAUUAUUUAUAAUAAGUUAAUAUAAUUAUUUAUAAUAAGUUAAUAAGUUAUUAUAGAUAAGUAUAAUUUGUAAGUCUAGCUGGUAGUGUCUCUUCAGCCUGCGGAAGUAACAGAACCUACACAAGAAUUUGUUUCCUAUAAAGUGUACCCUACUUUGAAUAUUUCACAUGUUUUUGUACGUUAUAUGGAAUUUAUGGAUUUUUGCAUCUUCAAAUUUAUUAAAAAUCUACAGUCUAUUAACAGAUAAUAAAGUAAGCAAGGUCCAUUAAUAAGAUGAAGUGAAUAUGACGCUGAUCUUCGUGACGUAAUGUGUUCCUCAUGUGUCAAAUCAAAUGGUAAAACGCCAAUAAAAUGAAAAAACGAAUAAUUAACUUUUGCUCUGUGCCUUUGUUUCUCACGCAUUUAUAACGCUUUUUUUACUAAUCCUCCUUCAGAGCUAUCGCACGUCAAAGUCAAAGAAUAUCACAAAAAUUGUUCUGGCAGAUUGAAACUCACCUAACCGAGCCCGAGGUGACCAAAAAUGGCAUAGGUGUUGGGCAUGGGCUCAAUGGCGAACUGCUGACUGAACUACGAGUGCUGCUUAACACAGAAUGUGGACAUUGUGGUGGACCGCCAUGUGCACCGGAAGAUGCGUUUCCACCUUUGCUGGAGGAACGUCCCUUCAGGCAGGGGAUUUUCGACCAACCGCUAACAUCGUUGCCCGACAAGCCUGUGAACAAAUACGUUGAUCGAUCGUACUAUGCAGGUGAUAGCAAUUUCACUGUAUGCAUUAGCAUUGCACAGGAUUUAGAGCGUCUGGGCGGCUGCUCCAUUUAGUGUAGCGCUUUGGCAUACGAGAUGUACGCUUCGAGCGUUUAUUUAGGGACACUUGAUCAAUUAAUCUGUAAGAUACAUAUUGAUAAAAUUGUGUUGGCGAGCAUCUACCUCCGAAGCAAAUGUUCAUUUCAUGUAGUUAAUUAAUAUCGAAUACGAUGAAAAUAAGUACGUUAUACGCGGUCAUCUAUUUGUGGCGAAUAAGAGCGAACAAUAACGUUGCCAAAGGCAUUUACACGUUUUCACAAUACAAACGCGAAAACCGAAAAUCUGAUGCCGAUCGUUUCGACUGGUUUGUAGUUAAAAAGUUUUAGAGUUAAAAUAGGAAGGAAGAAUAAGGAUUUGGAAUAAAUAGUUGCUUAAUAGUAGAUCUAUCAUACCAGUCAAAUUGACUGGUUUUAUAAUUUUAUUUUAAAAUUCCUACUUCAUGUUCUAUUUUUCCCCCCAGUGGUGUAAUGACUUUUGCGACGAUAACUAAAAGAAUAAUAUAAUGAGUUUUAUUUUGUUUUUUAUGUAUUUCGUAUCAAGGCUACUUAUACCAAUACCAGUCAAAGUGUAAAAGGGUCCUGUAAUCUGUUCAUCGAACCCCAAUUAACCAGUUUUCUCUUUUUGUACAACUUGCCACAAGUUUUUAAAAUUUUUACUGCGUAUCAUUCGAUAUGACGAUAUCAGUUAUAAGAAAAAUUUCAGAUCGAUCGCUAGAUCGCUAAAUGUUAACAAUAGAAACGCCACACCAGCCAAAAUGACUGGUUCUACAGUUUUAUAAAUGUGUCAACCCUCAUUUAGAGAUCCCGGAUGGAUUAAUUAAUAAUACAAAAAAUGUACUACAUAACAUGGAAUUUCUUUUGUAAGAAAGUGAUAAAUCGAUAAAUAUAAAAAUAUUCUAUUAUUACGUAUUUUUUUUAAAAGACCAGUCAUUUUGACUGGUUUUGACAUAAAUAGCUUGGUAUUAACUAUCGGUAGUUCUAGUGUUAAACUAAUUUCUUAUUUUCAUUUUUCAUAACAAAAUGAAAUGAAUCAUUCCUAAACACGAAUGUUCAUUUUGAUUGGCAAUUUUAAAUAAAGUAACAAAUAAUUUAAUUUCAUUGCUAAUUGAAAUUCUAGUUGAAAUAGAAUCCCUUUUGAUGGGAUCUGAAGUCCAGACUCGACUCGAGGCUGCGCGUUCUACACCAGGGAGCUUCUUGUAAAUCUUUGUUGGAUUAAGUUACGUUAACAUAAUACCAAUGUUAUAGCAGAUAUAUACAUAGAUAUUAUUAAAAUACGUAUAACAAGUUUGAAUUCAGAGAAUUGUGUUUUAUAAUAUCACAGCAUACGGUGUGAAAAUUCUCCUCAUCUCAAUUACCUUCACAAUAACAUUUGCGUUUCUCAUACAGUUGACAGAAUCAGAAAUUAUUUCACGUCACAUUUAUUCACAUAAAUAAUAAAAUAAUUGUCAUAUAAUUAUAACAAAUAAAAUGACAUAUUGUCGAACUAAUUACUUGUUAGAUGUCGUAUUUCGACUUUGCCUAACUUUGUUCCGAGUAUGGUCACGCUGACCUUUUCUGCUUAUUAUCGGGAUUUUGUCAUUAGGUAAUAAUGACAAAAUCCGCAAUCACUUAGUUGCCAACCCAAUAAAACCAACGGUUUGCGUCACGUUUACGAAACGGAUAAAACACGUGCGAUUUUCGAGAAUUCCGAUAUUUUAAUUAAGCGCGUCAUUAGUUUUAGAGUGAGCAGAAUCGCUGGAAAUGUCAACAGUAUUUUAUAUGCUUGUUGACGUAAUAACAUUUAUUAUACAUUUAUUUUUCGGGUCGUAAAUUCGGUGUACAAUGAACAUAUAUGUGACAUCUGAACUAACGGACUUUUUAAUUACCGUUGAUUGGUAUAUGGACACCUGGCGUGUCUGUUUUCGACGGGAGGCAUCUGUGCAAAGCGUCAACGACUCUGAUAAAAAAACGCCUCAAAAAAAAAAAAAUUGUUUGUAGAUUCGGCAGGAAUAUUUUUCCAUGCGACAAAAUUUUAACCAAAGCAUAUCCAAGUCCAUUCACAAGAAUAUUUUAUCGCAGAAACAAUGCAUACGAAUUGAAUAAAUUUACAAACCGAAUGAAACUAAGAUAAUAAAAAUAAGAAUGUUGGAAUAUUUUAUUUUUACGUUAAAAGUGUAAACCACAUAAAUAUGGAUUUAACAAUGUUGGAGUGGACAUGUUAGAGUUAACAUUUUUAAGAAUAGCAAUGUAAUGAAGCAAAUUGGAUAUAUUACAGAUGAAUUAUUUAGUUACAAUAAAGUGAUGCGAACAAUGUUCAGUUAAUUUCAAGAGUAAUCGCCAUAAUUAUUUUGUGUUCAAAGCAAUAUAGUGGCUAAAGUAGGGAAGCGUAUUCAACGCGAUAUCAAAUUCCCUUGUUAAUUAAAACUUUGUUACAAUAAUCGAAGGAGAAACACGAAUUUGGUGAUAUAAUUUAUUACCCGAUAAUUAAUUAAAUUUUUCCAAAAUAUUCGAUAAUAAACCUGUAAAGGAGUUGCCUACAUACGGGAAAUAAAUAAACUAAAAGCCAAUCCCUUUGAAACGAAGUUAGCCAAACUGUACAAACAGUAGAACGACAUAGUAGCAAAGAUAUUUUUAUCUAUACACAUUUAAGAAACUACAGCCGACUGUGCAUACAUUGUAUGGGCUUUAUUUUUUCAAGUUAGAAACUACUUUAUUUUACGCUAAAAAAAAAAAAAAAAAAUCAAAAAAACAAAAA